rnacentral:lncRNA from 1 species
AAAGGAUUCCUCAAAGGAACGCACUUGCUCUAAGCAGCUUCUCAGAGGGAAAUAUUUCUGUGUCUUUUACCCAUCUUUUCGGUUUCUUCACAAUGUCUCCUUCACCUUACAGUUGCACAGCAGAAGUGCAACUUGAAUUAGCAGCCAGCAUCAGCUCCAGCAAUCUGCUCCUGACAGAAGCUAGUGCUGGAGAAAAAAAAUCAAGAAAUUACCUUACUGGCAACAAAGAAAUGUCAGGUUUAAAAGAAAACUGUUACACAGAGAAAUCACUUAAACUGUGAGGAAAUUGAUAAAAGAAAAAUGUCUACUGAGGAAGAACGAGGACCUUAUAAUGUGACAUGCUCAGAAAGUCACUUACAUGACUUCUGAUGUACAUUUGUCCCAGUUGAACAGAACAAGGCUCUUUCUUCAAACAAGGAGCAAAAAAGCUACAUUGCACUGAUUGGAAAAAACAAAUCUUAUUUUCCAUGUCUGUGCCCUGAACAAAAAAAGAAGUAGAUGAAAGGAUGGUGUUGUAACAGAUCAGGCUUCAUACCACAUCAGAGUUUAUCAAGAAAAUGACAUACAGACAUAAUAGUUGCAGGAUAGCAACUCAUAGGUCAAGAAAAAACAGAAAGGUAAUUUCAUUUGCUCCAGAUCUCCAGAAAGUCUUUAAGAAUUGGUAAGAACCUGGUGGCAGCAAACCACCAGACAUACUUGUUUGUCAAGGAACAAAGCUCUCAUAAUAUGAUGGGCAAUGUCACAAAAAAGCAUGAAAUUCUUAUGUAGAAUGAAUUAGUCUUCAAAAGAGGCAGGCAUCUGAUCAAACAUCUAAUUGUUAAUCAGUUGUCAAGCAAUUUCACUACUCCUACUAAAUUCAAAAUCAUAUUAUGACUAAUUUCAGCCACAUACCAUCUGCAAAGCAGCCUGAAUACUUUGCUUCCAUUCUGGCCUGUACACUAACAACAGAUAAUUAUUAAACGGCGUAAUGACCUGCUAAGAAUACUGUGGAAAACCCGCUGUAGUACUGGUUUAUUGGAAUUCAUUAGAGAAUGAUAUUUGAAAUCAGCUGGGUUACUAACACUAGCCAAAUAUCUGGUUUUAUGUGUGGGCUUA